UAGGCGUAAAUGAUGCGAGUUAAGUGUGGGGGCAUCUACGAGAUGGCCCUGUGCUGUAGGGUAGCCGUUAAACUCGCUGCCUGGGGAGUACGGUCGCAAGGCUGAAACUUAAAGGAAUUGGCGGGGGGAGCACCACAAGAGGUGGAGGCUGCGGUUCAAUUGGACUCAACGCCGGAAAUCUUACCGGGACCGACAGCAACAUGAAGGCCAGGCUGAAGACUUUGCCGGAUUAGCUGAGAGGAGGUGCAUGGCGUAGUCGUGU
rnacentral:rRNA from 1 species